rnacentral:lncRNA from 1 species
UUGCAUCAUCACUUCAUCAGCAUACACGGAAAAGAAUUAAAAGAACCCACACAAGCAAGGAGGGACGACUAGACAGACGAGAUCAUCAUCCUGAAAAUACUGUGCCGCGGAGCAUACUCGGGACGGCUCGGCUCUACUUGGUGAUGGCGUAGAUGGCGUAGAUGAUGCCCGGGAUGUAGCCGAGGAAGGUGAGCAGGAGGCAGAUCCAGAACUCGUGCUGCAAGAAAGAAAGCAAGAAACAAUUAUCAGUAAUUCCAUCCAUACAUGUCCCCAUCCAUCAACCCAUGCAUCCAUCAACCUGUCGAUCGAGCAGAGCCAGAAAGGGGAAGACGGAAGAAGGGAGAAAGAGGAAAGAAUCCGAUGCUUUUGCUUACCCCGCAUCCGAACUUGAGGAAGACGCCGAGGGGCGGGAGGAUGAUGGCGAGGAUGAUGUCGAUGCAGUUGGCCGUGCCCGCCAUGGUCGAUCCUUCGGCGGACGGAGAGCUUUUUUCACUCGGUGGAUGGAGGGGAGGCAGCAGAGCUGAUCUGAGCAGAGCAGAGCAGAG